rfam:Polaromonas sp. JS666, complete genome.
CCACGUCUGGAACGACGUGACCUCGACCGCACGUGCGUCUGGAGUAAUCCGGGGGUGCGGAGCUGCGAGUAAACGACCUGUGCGUAAGCACAUAAGCCUGAUGUAAAUCAGUCCCAAUCCCAUGAGCAAGAAAUGGGAAGGUUG